UAGGGAAUCUUGCGCAAUGGGGGAAACCCUGACGCAGCGACGCCGCGUGCGGGAUGAAGGCCCUCGGGUUGUAAACCGCUUUCAGCAGGGACGAAAUUGACGGUACCUGCAGAAGAAGGCCCGGCCAACUACGUGCCAGCAGCCGCGGUAAUACGUAGGGGCCAAGCGUUGUCCGGAUUUAUUGGGCGUAAAGAGCUCGUAGGCGGUUCGGUAAGUCAGGUGUGAAAUCUCUCCGCCCAACGGAGAGGG
rnacentral:rRNA from 1 species